AAUUUACACAUCCACUGUCGGAAUGUGCUACAGAAAAGCCUCAAUGGAUUUCUAGCGCCAGUGCUUUCCUGCAAGUGGCAUGUGAGGACAGGUGAGAAGAUAACACAGUGCUGCAAGCAUUGACGGAUCCUCUGAUGACAGGACAGAUUGGUCAUGCUACAGAGCUAGGAAGAUCCAAAAGAAGAAAGUAGAAUGGAAUUAGGAGAUGUGCUGAAAUAUGAAGUCAGCAUUAUCAAGUAAUGUGAAGUUAACUGCACUAAGAAGGAGCUCUGAGACUGCCACCAGCUCUGGCUUCAGCUGUGAAGACUACUCUACAUUUUCAGAAAUCAGCUACUCAUCUGUUCUCAUGAACUGGUCCUGAAAACUUUCAUUCACAUGAAGAGCUGUACUGAUUUGUGGUCCUUUGAUAAAGACCAGAGUUGGUAGCAGAAACCAGUGAUUGGGAUAGCACUGUUGUAAUAACUCAUAAAUUAAUGAACUACCAGAAAGAGCAGGAUACGCUCUUUUCAUUAUUUAUUUUUUAAUCUUGUAUAGAAAUCAGUGAAAAUAAGGCAGUUUGGACUUGUAAUAUUUUUAUGUAGAUAAUUUAUACUCUGUACCUGAAAUAACUUUGUUUUAUUUGCAGAAACUCAUCAGUGU